AUAGUCAUACUUUUAUGCACUGGAGAGUCACUUUAAAAGACAACCAAUGUUCCUUUUUCCAAUAGUUCUCCGAAAAAUGAGUCGGCGUCCAAGGUUUGGAGUGACCGCUUCCUCUGUAGCUGGUCAGACCAUGCAGCUAGUCGGGUCAGAAGACGCUCUUACAGCAUUUCAACGAUUUUAUGACAGUGGAGAAGUAGGGGAUGUCCUCAGCGCUUUUGAUGCAGUCUGUGAAGGAUUAGAUUUACAUCCUGGACGAUACCCAGACUUCUUUCCUGUUCUCAAGGCCAGACUAGUCGAUAAACUCAGUUACCGGUAUACGGAACUAUGGAAGGUUCUGGAGAAAAGAGCAAAGAGAAGUAUUUAUGGAGGAAACAAGGUUUCCCAGGAGAUGAGAGUUCUUGUAAUUGGAGCAGGACCAUGUGGACUCAGGACUGCCAUUGAAUGCCAUCUAUUGGGAGCUAGAACUGUGGUAGUAGAGGAAACAACUUCAUUUAGUCGGAAUACAGUUUUGGAACUUUGGAAGUUUGUGGUAGAAGAUUUAAAGAUGUUGGGAGUAAAACAUCUAUUCAGUCGGUUAGGAUGUGGAACCACAGACCAUUUGUCCACCAAACUGCUUCAAACAGCACUUCUAAAGAUAUGUUGCCUGCUUGGUGUACAAGUGUACACUGGUGUCAAGUUUCAGAGUUUACUUGAACCGGAAGAUGAGCAGGGUUGGCAUGCAAGACUUGUUCCUGAGGAUCAUGAGGCUAGACAUUUCUCUUUUGAUGUCCUUGUGGGAGCUUCUGGUCUAGGCUUCUGUUUAGAUGGAUUCAACAGGGGUCGUGAAGAAGGAACUGAUGAGUUGACCUUAACAGCUAGUUUUCAGCAUGGUACCAGUCCAGAGGAAGUUCUUAUUUCAGAGUUAAACACUCUUAAAAGAAGCGUUAAUUCACAGUUUUAUAAAGAGUUAGACAGAGAUGUGAACUUAAAGGUGGAUAAUUUAACUUAUUACAGAGAUGACACUCAUUACUUUCAGUUUGACGUAAGUCCCGAGAAUUUGAUCAAGCAAAGAAUUUUGAAAGAGAACUUUCCCUGCAGGAACCGACUGCUAUCCAAGUCCAACAUAGAUACCGAGGUCCUCAAAAAAGAAGUAAUUGAGAUUUGCAAAUUUGCAACAAGAUAUCAUUCCAGACAACUCCCACAUUCAAACCUGGCAAAAAACAGCCUUGGACAGGAUGAUAUUAAUCUUGUGGAUUGCUCAAAAAGAUAUUAUUCUAAGGAGGCAGGAAGAGCUAUUAUCCGUAAAGGAUUCCCUCUACUGCUCAGCCUAGUGGGGGAUACACUCUCAAACUUCACCUGGGAGAACGGUUUAGGCAUGGCAAGGGGUUGGUUGAGUUGCUUGGAUUCUGCCUGGAUGGUCAGGGCCUGGAGUUUACAGGCCAACCCUCUUCAGGUUUUAGAGGAGAGAGAGGAAUUAUAUAAAGUUCUCACAAAGCUAAAGAAUCCUACAGAGCUAAGUAAAAAUAUCAAGAAGUACCAGCUGAACCCACGGUCUAGAUAUUUUCUGCCAGUAUCAGAAGAUGAGGAUAAGCAGAGAAUAAUUUCCCUUUAUCAAACUGAUAACAAGGAGGAGAUAAGGUAUCUUGAAGAAAAAUAUUUGUCGAAAGGAUAUUUUGCAAACUUGGCUUAUUCUAACCUUCUUCAUAGAUACAAAUCUACUAAACCAAACCCAGGUAGGGAGGGAGGAAGAAAAAUAAAACAGUCAUUGAGAAGGAAAAGUUUCCACCUGAAGGAGAAGAUACUCUUGAAGCUCGGGAAAACUGAGAAAUCUGUUGAUCCUGAACUGGAAGACAAGGUGUCUCAGUUUAAACUGCAAAACCAGGAGGUUCAAUUGUUAAAUAAAUCAGUUUUGAAUUAUGUGAAGGCUCUGGAGGCUGUCAGGUCAGCUGAGGCUGACCUUUUUCACACUUGGUCUCUGAACAUUCAGGAUUGGAGUAAUCUCGAGAGCUUUCUCCAGAACACUGAAGCUAUCCAGGCUCGUCGCCAGCAGAAUAUUGAAGUACUUGAGAAGGAGGUUGUUCUAACUCUUAAUACUUAUUCAAGACAGUUUCAGGAAGUAAAAGGGAGAGUGGAUAAAAGUGAAAUAUUAAGAAUAUCAGCGGAUCAGGAUAAAUUCCAUCUGGGGAAACUUAAAGCAGUGGAAUCUACAGAAAGGUCCAUUAUUGAAGAUGCGGAGAAAAAGCAAAAAAAAUCGGAGGAUUCAUAUUCCUCAGUGAGAGAUGAGCUGACCAGCCUCCUGCCCAACCUCUACGGGAUCAGAAGAGAGUUCUUCGCCACAAGCCUCUACUCCCUCUUCCUACAGCAGAAUACCCUUCACACAGACCUCUCCUAUAUUUACAGGUUUGACAACCUUCUAUGCUGCAAAUACAACCAAGGCCUUGAAUCUUCAAGAUUGUUUGUUCAAGUGUGUUGCUUUACCAAACUGUGACAUCCUGGAAUUCCAGGAUGGACAGUGCACUACAGGACAAACCAUUGGUAAAAGAAAUGUGGGAAGUUACAGUUCUUCUAAGACUUGGAAGAUUGUAAGACCUGCAGGUUGUAUCCCCCAUCACUGUUUUGAAGAUAGAACUACACGACCAGGAGUGGAACAUUUUUUUGUAAUCUAGCAUUCAACAUUUUUAUAUUAGUUCUCUUAAGUCAUCAAAAGUAGUAAAAAAUUUUAUUUUUAUUUUUAUUUUUUAUUUCAUUUUAUUAUUUAUUUAACCCAUACUAAAAGAAUUUUUUCCCCUUUAAAAUAACCUAAAGCUUAAACUUGAAUUCACUGACAUUAGGAAAUACAUUCGCAGGUAUUCUAAGUUUUUUAAGUACACCAUGGAUUCAAACUUUUCAUAAUUUUUCACAAAGUGCUCAUAUGAGACAUUUAAAAUUCAAAUAAGUUGUUGAAUACUAUUGCAUGAGAUUCAAAUAAUUUCAAUGCAAAAAAUAAUACCAUUAAAGGAAGUGAGGAUUCAAUUGAUAUUAUAAACUAUUUUGUAGUGCCCACAGUGGAUUCUAGUGAGGAAUGCGGGUGUACAUGUGCCUCUACUAGGGGAUGUACUAGCUUUGAUUGGGAUAAUGGGAUUAAAGGAUGCUAUUUGAAGAAUGCUGUGGGUGAACCUACAGCAAACACGCAUUUGCUUUCUGGGGUUCUCAAUUGUUAAUAUCCUAAAUUAAUUUAUUAUCAAAAUUAAUUUAUUCAGUAUAAUAAAUGUGUUCUCUUCAUGUUUGAUUUUAAAUUGAUGUUACAAAAAUAUCAAUGUGAUAAAUUUACAUAUUGAUUUAUUGUUUAUAAUCUGACGUGAUUAAAUAGUGCCCAAAACAUGCAUGUUUUGUAAUAAACCUACGUGGGGUUACCCACAAAGGAUGAUAAAGUAAAGACAACUUGAAAUUCCAUGCAGUCGUCUUUAAAUUCUCAUCCUUUGUGUGUAACUUUGUUUAGUACUUAAAAAAUCUAGAAAUAUUGAUGUCAAAGAUGCCCAAAAGAAGUUCAUUCAAGUUUUAUUUGGCCAUUUCAGGUGUUUUCUCAAGCAGCUCAGCAAAGAUUUGGAUACUAUUAAAUAUUCACUCAACAAAGACUUCACUACUCCGCUUAUUCAGGAGUAUAUUACUAACCCACUAAAAAGAGUAUUUCCAUGAUAAAAAAGAUGUAAGGUUUUUCCCAAAGGCAUUUUCCCUAGUGGCAACAUUCCAAGCUUAUUUUCCAAAAUACACAAUUUCCCAAGUGGCAACUUUCCAUGUUUCUCCAAGCCAAAGUGCUCAGCCCCUAGCCAAUCCUAACCUCACCAAUUGGCCCCAUUACAGCCUGCGGCGCCUCAGAAGACCUUUGGGAAGUUGUCUCUUAAGAAAUUGCUCAAUUGGAAAAUUGUCACUUAAGAUAAUGCCUAUGGGAAAAUACAAUACACCAUAAAAAGAGCAAAGCCAGUGAUCUGUGCUAAAUAGAAAACCUUCAAAGAAAAACUUGAAUUUGCGCAUUCUAAAAUGAUCAUACUAUUGUUAUUGAGCUCUUAUCACAGGUUUAAAAU